GAUCACUAUGAGUUGAUCCUGGCUCAAUUGAACGCUGGCGGAAUGCUUUACACAUGCAAGUCGAACGGCAGCAUAGGGAGCUUGCUCUCUGAUGGCGAAUGGCGAACGGGUGAGUAAUAUAUCGGAACGUACCUAGUAAUGGGGAACAACCAGCCGAAAGGUUGGCUAAUACCGCAUACGACCUACGGGUGAAAGCAGGGGAUCUUCGGACCUUGCGUUAUUAGAGCGGCCGAUAUCUGAUUAGGUAGUUGGUGGGGUAAAGGCCUACCAAGCCGACGAUCAGUAGCUGGUCUGAGAGGACGAUCAGCCACACUGGAACUGAGACACGGUCCAGACUCCUACGGGAGGCAGCAGUGGGGAAUUUUGGACAAUGGGGGAAACCCUGAUCCAGCCAUUCCGCGUGAGUGAAGAAGGCCUUCGGGUUGUAAAGCUCUUUCGCAAGAGAAGAAAUCUUACUAUCG
rnacentral:rRNA from 1 species